rnacentral:tRNA from 1 species
GGCCUCGUAGCUCGUAGCUAACAGAGCGUGUGCUGUACAAAAGCGUAGGCGGCGUCCAUGCGUGGGUUCGAAUCCCACCGAGACUA